GUGUUAAUAAUACAUAAAAAUAUAAGUGAAAUUGAUUUUGGUGAGCAAUAAUGAACCUAAAAAAUGAUAAGAAAAACACAUAUUUUCUUUUGAAAUAACUUUUGUUUCAACAUUCAAAAAUGGAUGAGGUAUACUAGCAAUUAAACACCUGGGAUUGCCCCAGAUAGCAAGGUUCUCGUGACCGACACAACAUGGGAAUAAUCGUUAACAGUUUACGUUAUAUGUGUGAUAUAGAAUAAGCCAAAAAUUAUUUAAUGGAUAUAAAUGUAUUUUACAAAAUAUAAUUCCUUUGAGAGGUGUCUAAUGAACUGAAAUAUUUUGAUCACGGAUUUCGUUUUGAAUAAGAUGAAUUUUUGAAAAAUUCAAAUUAUCCAGUUCAGAAUAAACCAUUCAUAAUCUGAAUUAUAUUUGCAUGUACUAGAUCUGAGUAUAUUAUACCGAAAUAUACUAAAACGCGAGUUCUUUUCCCUGCAUCUUCGUCAACAUGAUUCGACUCGUUUGAUAUGCCGCGCCAAUGAAAACGUUCCUAUCCACCUGUUGGCAGUAUUUAUCGAAAUACAAGUAUAUAAAUGCUUUCAUCCACUAGAUUCAAGAAUAUUAUUCGAAGAUAUACUAAAAUGCGCCCUCUGUGCAGUUUGCAUUAGAAAAUAUCUCUUUCGAUCCCCUUCAGUCUCAUUUAGGUGAUAGGACUGAUCGGUCUACGGAAGUUUUAAUUGUGUUAUAAGUGUUAGAUACUGAAUACAUACUGCAAAAAGCAAAAUUUAAUUAGGAAUUAGGGAUAAAUGGAGUGUCUGAGUGGAAAAUUUCAAGAAUAUGGAAAUUGUUCAUGAACAAUUGGGAGUUACGUUAUCAUUUGCUGAUGAAAAUGCAAAUCAAUAGAUAUCUAUCGAUAUGAGUGAGAUACAAUUUUGGAAUAAUUCUUCAGGACCAGAUCUCAAAUGAUAUUGGACAAAUCAUUCAAGAACAGAAAAAUAGAUCAACACAGAGGAAUCAAACCGCCAAGCCCAACUUGUUUUUGGUAUCAGGGGAAAAUCUAUUAUAGCCGAAAAGUUUCCAAAUUGUUGUAUAUAGAUGUAGAUGAACUUUUAAGUAUGUAUCUCGAAUUCUCUCCACCUAAAUAAUUUAUUCUUUAGGAGAUAACUAUGUUCCUUUAAUCAUUUGUAUAGUACAAUGUUUUAUCCUGUAUUUGUAUAAAUGUAAUACAAUUUUUUUCCAAUGUA